rnacentral:misc_RNA from 2 species
CCAGAAGACGCCUCGGCGGAAACGCCGGGGCCUUCGUCCAACCCUUUGUGAACGUAUCUCUAUUGCCCCGGGGGAACCCCGCCUGUCAUGGGCGUGGGCCCCCGGUGGCCAACUCAAACUCUGUUUUUAUUGCCGUCUGAGUAACAAACAAAUCAAAACA